AUGAGAGUCACCUGGGCCCAUAUGCAACAGAAAUCUGAAUGGUCAGGGGUCUUGUUCAGCCACUCAUUUCUAAAGCUGGGAUCCUUCAGACAGAUAUGCAGAGAGUUAGGUGCUGCACACAUCCAGGAACUGCUCGAGCAUGCUGGCCUUUUGAAGUGGAGGCAUUUCACUGUGAAAUUGUCGAACUCUGAGCACAGCAACAGUGGGGUCCACAUAAGAGACAUCAGGCGACCCGCAGGGAACCGCUAUUAGCUAUAUCUGCAGUCCAGAUUCAGGCCAUUUUGAAAUGAAUGAACAUCAGACUGAAUAAUAGGCACUCUAUAAGCUUCUUCCUUCACGAUGGGAGGUCACAUUACCCAGAAUUCAUCCCAUUAAUAAGCACCUGCCCUUCCCCGACAGUGAGCAACCCUUGCUAUUGAUGGAGCUCUCUCUGGGGAAAUCACAACCUCUACACCUAGACGUUCUUUUGAGAAUUCUUUGUCUUCAUGUGCGUACGAACAUCAACAAGUCACCAUGCCGGGACUUGCCAUAUACAACAUCCAGCUUCCAAUCUCCUGAAGAGCAUGCACACGCUCCAAGGAGGGUUUCGUAAAUGUCCUUGCUCGCUGUCCUUGCACCCUUUGCUUAGGAUGUGUGAGGAUUCUAAUAGCUGAGAGGGUCAUCUUAGCUGACUGCUGCCAGAACCAUCGCCUGCUGACUGCAUCAUCAUCCACGAUAGCCAAUCACAGUCAAGGACUUAGUGAUGCUGUGCCACUCUCACUGGAGGGAUUCCGAAGGAAGUACCUCGUGACGGUGCAUGGUUAAACAGCCAAGAGUCCCUUUCUCUCUCCCUCCCUCUCACUAAUUCAGGACUGGAUGCAUGCACGAUCUGGUUUUUAACAGGGAGAGCACAUUACCAUGCACACUACUCCCUGCAGGCUCGCCAGAGAAUAGCGACAACAGCAGCUCUCUCACUCUCUCCCCCGCUCUCUCCACCUCUACCAGACAAGACUCCUCCUCUCCAUCUCUCUGUGACUCCCUCUCUCUCUCUUGCAUAUGAUCUGUACUUCACUUCCUCCCAGCUGAAGCAGGCGAUAACAGCACGCUACACAGGUAGGCACUCAUAUUUCCCUCUCUGAAGUUGCAGGUGUUCAGCUUUUGCUGGUUUGUUUCGUAUUGGUUGCGAUUCUGAAAGAGACCUAUACUGGGG
ensembl:lncRNA